rnacentral:rRNA from 1 species
UUUUUGGAGAGUUUGAUCCUGGCUCAGGACGAACGCUGGCGGCGUGCCUAAUACAUGCAAGUCGAGCGAACUUGAUGAGAGCUUGCUCCCUGAUAGUUAGCGGCGGACGGGUGAGUAACACGUGGGUAACCUGCCUGUAAGACUGGGAUAACUCCGGGAAACCGGGGCUAAUACCGGAUAACUUUUUUCUUCGCAUGAAGGAGAAUUGAAAGAUGGCUCCGGCUAUCACUUACAGAUGGACCCGCGGCGCAUUAGCUAGUUGGUGAGGUAACGGCUCACCAAGGCGACGAUGCGUAGCCGACUUGAGAGGGUGAUCGGCCACACUGGGACUGAGACACGGCCCAGACUCCUAC